CUCCACCCUCCUUCUGGGUGGGGCAGGGAACCUGGAACUUUCCCUUUUCCUAGGGAUCCCCCUGUUACAUGACUGCAGGACGUUUACCACCAGUCAUUCCAGGACAUUUGGCUGCUAUUCCUCCCCUUCCUCCUGCUCUCCCCAUCUUCUGAAGCCGACUCCUCCACGGAGCCGGCCCUCCUGACCCCUGCCUCCCUGCAGGCUGCUGGCUCCAUUCUCCUCCCUCCUUGGCACAGUUUCCCAGCAGGCUGGAAGCACUUUCAGGACGGAAAUAUAGAUAUUGUCAUCAUGCUCUUCAAAUCCAGUGACACAGGGAGUGUGACCCCUCAUGUAAAUGAUGACCUUCGGGUGAUAAUCCUUCUCUGCUGGGGAGUGCUGCUAACAGAAUGAACUCCUGAAGGGUGCCUCAAAGCUUUUUCAGCUGGGAAGAGACUCCUGAUGCCACCCUCUGGGAACAUGAAUAACCGAAGUCAACCUUUGAUUGGAGUCAAAGGGGAAACAUACUGGGAUCUGCUGAAGAUUUAUCCUUUUAAUGACUUCCCUGAUAACCAGCUGACAAGUGUCUGAAAUCAGCACAGCGAGACCACAUCCGUUUUAGGUCUUGGUCAGGCACUCAACUGUCUGCCAAAGUCCUACCGCCUCUGCUUGCCCACAGUUCUACAGUGAUCCCAAAGACAUAAAAAUGGUUUCCUUUUCACCUGAUUAUUUAAAAAAAUAUUUAUU